rnacentral:rRNA from 1 species
GACGAACGCUGGCGGCGUGCUUAACACAUGCAAGUCGAACGGAAAGGCCCUGCUUUUGUGGGGUGCUCGAGUGGCGAACGGGGGAGUAACACGUGAGUAACCUGCCCUUGACUUUGGGAUAACUUCAGGAAACUGGGGCUAAUACCGGAUAGGAGCUCCUGCUGCAUGGGGGGGGUUGGAAAGUUUCGGCGGUUGGGGAUGGACUCGCGGCUUAUCAGCUUGUUGGUGGGGUAGUGGCGUACCAAGGCUUUGACGGGUAGCCGGCCUGAGAGGGUGACCGGCCACAUUGGGACUGAGAUACGGCCCAGACUCCUACGGGAGGCAGCAGUGGGGAAUAUUGCACACUGGGCGGAAGCCUGAUGCAGCAACGCCGCGUGCGGGAUGACGGCCUUCGGGUUGUAAACCGCUUUCGCCUGUGACGAAGCGUGAGUGACGGUAAUGGGUAAAGAAGCACCGGCUAACUACGUG